rnacentral:rRNA from 1 species
AAGACCUUGCACUUUUGGAGCGGCCGAUGUCUGAUUAGCUAGUUGGUGGGGUAAUGGCCUACCAAAGCUUCGAUCAGUAGCUGGUCUGAGAGGACGGCCAGCCACACUGGGACUGAGACACGGCCCAGACUCCUACGGGAGGCAGCAGUGGGGAAUUUUGGACAAUGGGCGCAAGCCUGAUCCAGCCAUGCCGCGUGAGUGAAGAAGGCCUUCGGGUUGUAAAGCUCUUUCAGCCGGGAAGAAAAGGUUGCGACUAAUAAUCGCAAUUCAUGACGGUACCGAAAGAAGAAGCACCGGCUAACUACGUGCCAGCAGCCGCGGUAAUACGUAGGGUGCGAGCGUUAMUCGGAAUUACUGGGCGUAAAGGGUGCGCAGGCGGUUUUGUAAGUCAGAUGUGAAAUCCCCGGGCUUAACCUGGGAACU